rnacentral:rRNA from 1 species
AUUGAACGCUGGCGGAAUGCUUUACACAUGCAAGUCGAACGGCAGCAUAGGUGCUCGCACCUGAUGGCGAGUGGCGAACGGGUGAGUAAUACAUCGGAACGUGCCCAGUCGUGGGGGAUAACGUAGCGAAAGUUACGCUAAUACCGCAUACGAUCUGAGGAUGAAAGCGGGGGACCGUAAGGCCUCGCGCGAUUGGAGCGGCCGAUGUCAGAUUAGGUAGUUGGUGAGGUAAAGGCUCACCAAGCCGACGAUCUGUAGCUGGUCUGAGAGGACGACCAGCCACACUGGGACUGAGACACGGCCCAGACUCCUACGGGAGGCAGCAGUGGGGAAUUUUGGACAAUGGACGCAAGUCUGAUCCAGCCAUUCCGCGUGCAGGACGAAGGCCUUCGGGUUGUAAACUGCUUUUGUACGGAACGAAAAAGCUCUUACUAAUACUAGGAGUCCAUGACGGUACCGUAAGAAUAAGCACCGGCUAACUACGUGCCAGCCGCCGCGGUAA